CAGGAUGAACGCUGGCGGCGUGCCUAAUACAUGCAAGUCGAGCGAACAGAUAAGGAGCUUGCUCCUUUGACGUUAGCGGCGGACGGGUGAGUAACACGUGGGUAACCUACCUAUAAGACUGGGAUAACUUCGGGAAACCGGAGCUAAUACCGGAUAACAUUUGGAACCGCAUGGUUCUAAAGUGAAAGAUGGUUUUGCUAUCACUUAUAGAUGGACCCGCGCCGUAUUAGCUAGUUGGUAAGGUAACGGCUUACCAAGGCGACGAUACGUAGCCGACCUGAGAGGGUGAUCGGCCACACUGGAACUGAGACACGGUCCAGACUCCUACGGGAGGCAGCAGUAGGGAAUCUUCCGCAAUGGGCGAAAGCCUGACGGAGCAACGCCGCGUGAGUGAUGAAGGGUUUCGGCUCGUAAAACUCUGUUAUUAGGGAAGAACAAAUGUGUAAGUAACUGUGCACGUCUUGACGGUACCUAAUCAGAAAGCCACGGCUAACUACGUGCCAGCAGCCGCGGUAAUACGUAGGUGGCAAGCGUUAUCCGGAAUUAUUGGGCGUAAAGCGCGCGUAGGCGGUUUCUUAAGUCUGAUGUGAAAGCCCACGGCUCAACCGUGGAGGGUCAUUGGAAACUGGGAAACUUGAGUGCAGAAGAGGAAAGUGGAAUUCCAUGUGUAGCGGUGAAAUGCGCAGAGAUAUGGAGGAACACCAGUGGCGAAGGCGACUUUCUGGUCUGUAACUGACGCUGAUGUGCGAAAGCGUGGGGAUCAAACAGGAUUAGAUACCCUGGUAGUCCACGCCGUAAACGAUGAGUGCUAAGUGUUAGGGGGUUUCCGCCCCUUAGUGCUGCAGCUAACGCAUUAAGCACUCCGCCUGGGG
rnacentral:rRNA from 1 species